rnacentral:lncRNA from 1 species
NNNNNNNNNNNNNNNNNNNNNNNNNGGGGGAGCUCCUGGGAGCGUCCCAGUUCACACCAGUACAGCCCGGGCGGGACCAGUGAUCCAAUCCCAGUGCCGCCAGUGUCCCCAUCCAGUGUCACCAGUGACCCCGUCCCAGUGCCACCAGUGCCACCAGUGUCACCAUCCCACUGUCACCAGUGUCCCUGUCCCAGUUCACACCAGUACAGCCCGGGCGGGACCAGUGUCCCCAUCCCAGUGUCACCAGUGUCACCAGUGUCACCAUCCCAAUGUCACCAGUGACCCCAUCCCAGUGCCACCAGUGUCCCCGUCCCAGUGCCACCAGUGUCCCCGUCCCAGUUCACACCAGUACAGCCCGGGCGGGACCAGUGAUCCAAUCCCAGUGCCGCCAGUGUCCCCAUCCCAGUGUCACCAGUGUCCCCGUCCCAGUGUCACCAGUGUCCCAGUCCCAGUUCACACCAGUACAGCCUGGUCGGGACCAGUGUCACCAUCCCAGUGUCACCAGUGUCCCCAUCCCAGUGCCACCAGUGUCCCCAUCCCAGUGCCGCCAGUGUCCCUAUCCCAGUGUCACCAGUGUCCCCGUCCCAGUUCACACCAGUACAGCCCGGGCGGGACCAGUGACCCCAUCACAGUGCCACCAGUGUCACCAUCCCAGUCCCACCAGUGUCCCCAUCCCAGUGACCCCAUCCCAGUGUCACCAGUGUCCCCAUCCCAGUGUCACCAGUGUCCCCGUCCCAGUUCACACCAGUACAGCCCGGUCGGGACCCAGUGUCACCAUCCCAGUGCCACCAGUGUCACCAUCCCAGUGUCACCAGUGUCCCCAUCCCAGUGCCGCCAGUGUCCCUAUCCCAGUGUCACCAGUGUCCCCAUCCCAGUCCCACCAGUGUCCCCAUCCCAGUGUCACCAGUCCAGCCCGGAAGGCGCGGAGGGGGCGGAGCGAAUGCAAAUCCCAGCGCUCCGAUCACCAAUCACGCCGAAGGAGCGGAGCGUCAGAGCAGGCGGGGAUAAAGGCGGGGUUAUGCAAAUUAAAGACACAGCGACCCCGAAAGGCAUGACGGGAGCAGAAUUGGGGCAGAAUUCGGGGGUUUCGGGGCUCGGCGCGGGCGGAGCGCGGGAGCGAAGCGCGGAGCGGCUGCGGAAAAGCUCCCGGAGCGGCUCGGGGCGGCUGCG